rnacentral:lncRNA from 1 species
AUCUCCUAAAAUAAAGAAAAUAUUGACCUCUAAAUGUAACCCAGCAAAACAAAACCAAAUGAUAAAGAAUUCCAGUAUAUCACAUGAAAACUCCAGGAAAAAUUUAAGCGAAGAUGAAAUAAAUAAAAAACAUCAUAGUAUUGAAAGCAGUG